GAAGGUCACAAUUAGGUCACCCUUGGUCUCUUCUCCAGGUGGAACAAUCCCAAUUCUUUCGGCUUUUCCAAGCAGCAGAGCUGCUCCAUCCUUCUGAUCAUCUCGGUGCCUCCUCUGGACUCACUCCGACAGGUCCCUGUCCUUCCUACGCUCGGAUCCCAGGGAUGGAUGAGGCUCUGCAGGCAUCAGUGGCAAUUUCCAGGUAUUAUUCCCAGAAGUCUCAUUUGUCACGAAGAACCAAUGGAAGUCAGUGGCGGUGCUGCCACACACCUAGAGGUAGGUACCUGGAGGUGGUCACAGGCACCAGGGCCAUCGUGUUCCAUCGCAUCAUGACAUGUCAGCACCCAAACGUCCCUCUGGCAGCCCUGGCCGAGCAGUACCUGCAGGAACAGGUUCUACCCUUUGCUGACUUGGCCCUGCACAGGUGCUGACAGAGCCUGAAGCUGACAGAGGUCUGUUCCUGGCCCGUGGAGCUGCUCUGGAAGGUGUUUCCUACUCCCUCCCUUGUGGACGACCCUCCCUGCAGCUCACAGAAUCAUACAAUGGUUUGGGUUGGACAGGACCUUGAAGACCAUCCAGUUUGAAGAUAUACCCCCUUGUCCUGUCACUCCAGGCCCUUGUAAAUAGUCUCUCUCCAUCCUUCUUGUAGGCUGCCUUCAGGUAGUGGAAGGGGCAAUUAGAUCACCCGAGGUUUCUUCUCCAGGCCGAAGAAUUCCAAUUCUCUCAGCCUUGCCUCAGAGCAGAGCUGCUCCACCCCUCUAAUCAUCUUGGUGCCUCCUCCGGAUUCCCUCCAUCAAGUCCAUGUCCUUCCUGCGCUGGGAUCCCAGGGCUCGAUGCAGCUCUGCAGGUGGGGUCUCACCUGAGCGGGGCGGAGGGGCCCUGGACCUGCUGCCCACAGGGGUGGGGAGGCAACCCGGUAUACGAUCGGCUUUCCGACCUGCCAGCGCACGUGGCUGGAGCACGUCCCUCUUCUCAGCCAAAGCCCCGGCCCCCACCCGCCGCCGCCAGUGCGCUG
rnacentral:lncRNA from 1 species